rnacentral:rRNA from 1 species
CCAGACUCCUACGGGAGGCAGCAGUGGGGAAUAUUGCACAAUGGGCGCAAGCCUGAUGCAGCCAUGCCGCGUGUAUGAAGAAGGCCUUCGGGUUGUAAAGUACUUUCAGUCGGGAGGAAGGUGGUAAGGUUAAUAACCUUAUCAAUUGACGUUACCGACAGAAGAAGCACCGGCUAACUCCGUGCCAGCAGCCGCGGGAAUACGGAGGGUGCAAGCGUUAAUCGGAAUUACUGGGCGUAAAGCGCACGCAGGCGGUCUGUCAAGUCGGAUGUGAAAUCCCCGGGCUCAACCUGGGAACUGCAUUCGAAACUGGCAGGCUGGAGUCUUGUAGAGGGGGGUAGAAUUCCAGGUGUAGCGGUGAAAUGCGUAGAGAUCUGGAGGAAUUCCGGUGGCGAAGGCGGCCCCCUGGACAAAGACUGACGCUCAGGUGCGACAGCGUGGGGAGCAAACAGGAUUAGAUCCCCUGGUA